rnacentral:rRNA from 1 species
AGCAGCCGCGGUAAUUCCAGCUCCAAUAGCGUAUAUUAAAGUUGUUGCAGUUAAAAAGCUCGUAGUUGAAUUUCGGAAUCUGUCCGUUGGUCGGGCUUAAUUGUCCGUACUGAUGUGAUGGGUUCUUACCUUCUGAAUAACCAGCAUGUCAUUAAUUUGGUGUGUUGGGGAAGCAGGACUAUUACCUUGAAAAAUUAGAGUGCUCAAAGCAGGCUAGCGCCUGAAUACAUUAGCAUGGAAUAAUAAAAUAGGACGGCAUGGUUCUAUUUUGUUGGUUUCUAGGAUCACCGUAAUGAUUAAUAGGGAUAGUUGGGGGCAUUAGUAUUCAAUUGUCAGAGGUGAAAUUCUUGGAUUUAUUGAAGACUAACUUCUGCGAAAGCAUUUGCCAAGGAUGUUUU